rnacentral:rRNA from 1 species
UACGUAGGGUGCGAGCGUUAAUCGGAAUUACUGGGCGUAAAGCGUGCGCAGGCGGUUUUGUAAGCCAGAUGUGAAAUCCCCGGGCUUAACCUGGGAAUGGCAUUUGGGACUGCAAGGCUUGAGUGCGGCAGAGGAGACUGGAAUUCCCGGUGUAGCAGUGAAAUGCGCAGAUAUCGGGAGGAACACCUAUGGCGAAGGCAGCUCGCUGGGACGUUACUGACGCUGAGACGCGAAAGCGUGGGGAGCAAACAGG